UAGACUAUAGUUUCAGGAAUCAUUUCUAUAGUUCGUUACCAGAGAAGUUUCUGUGAACGUGUAGAGCACCCGAAACCACGAGGAGGAGGCACAGCAUUCCCUCCUGAGCGUGAAGCCGGCUCUUGGUGUUGCUUCUGCAACUGCCAUCAGCCAUUGAAGAUCGCUCUUCUCUUCCUCAUGGAAGAGUAAGAGGGUGAGAAUGCAGUCUGAGUGGC